rnacentral:misc_RNA from 1 species
AUUGCGCGGCGAAAAAACCUUACACACAGUGUUUUUUGUUAUUACAAGAACUUUUGCUUUGGUCUGGACUAGAAAUAGUUUGGGCCAGAGGUUUACUGAACUAAACUUCAAUAUUUAUAUUGAAUUGUUAUUUAUUUAAUUGUCAAUUUGUUGAUUAAAUUCAAAAAAUCUUCAAAACUUUCAACAACGGAUCUCUUGGUUCUCGCAUCGAUGAAGAACGCAGCGAAAUGCGAUAAGUAAUAUGAAUUGCAGAUUUUCGUGAAUCAUCGAAUCUUUGAACGCACAUUGCGCCCUCUGGUAUUCCAGAGGGCAUGCCUGUUUGAGCGUCAUUUCUCUCUCAAACCUUCGGGUUUGGUAUUGAGUGAUACUCUUAGUCGAACUAGGCGUUUGCUUGAAAUGUAUUGGCAUGAGUGGUACUGGAUAGUGCUAUAUGACUUUCAAUGUAUUAGGUUUAUCCAACUCGUUGAAUAGUUUAAUGGUAUAUUUCUCGGUAUUCUAGGCUCGGCCUUACAAUAUAACAAACAAGUUUGACCUCAAAUCAGG